rnacentral:lncRNA from 1 species
GUUUUAAGGGAGAAGUUAAGGUUUCACAGAAGGCUAUUCAAGAAAUUCAGAUUUUUAAUUUGCACAAGUUCAUCUUGAUAGUAUUUGAAUGCCUGGCACUGAUGCCUUAAGUGAUUGUGAUUAGUAUCUAUCAUGUGAUGGUUACUCUUCACCCCUGCAUUAGAGUGAACUGUGUUCCUUGGAAAGGUUUAUUUUGCUACAGCUUUGUCAGUUUCGGUUUUGUUUAGCUUUGUUUUCUUAGAAAAAUGCACGUGUUAUUCUAUAUUUAUUUUAGAGAAGGCAAGGUUAGAGAGACAAAAUAAAUAUUCCGUAAUUAUUUUAGAGAGACACAGUUAGGUCGAGGGAGCUCAUUCCCUCACAGGUUGACCAGUUCUCCUUCCACAGAUAAGCUUUGCCCUAGUUUUAGAGAGGUUCAGUUGCAGCAGAAGAGCAAACUUACCAAGUGCAAGGUUUUAUUGAGGGCUUUAAGCAAUAUUUAAGAUACUUUGGACUCAAUAUGAGAAUUAUUUGAAUGACUGAUCCCAUUGUGAACUCCAUUUUUGUUGUGUUUGAAAAGACAACAUGAGAUCUGAAGGAAAAGUCUGAUUUCUCAUGGUCAGUUCUACUAUAUGAAGCACUGUGUGAAUCUCUGGUGUACAAUGUACACCAGAUACAUCACACUAGUGAUAAUGGAGUAAACAGCUGCAGUCAGUCACAGAUAGGCAUGAAACACAUUUCAGCCAACUGCAGAAUCCAUGUGGAAGUCCUCAUGCAACAAAUCAGCAUUGACUGGGAAUGACUACUCCACCAGCAAAGACCAAGAGGACCAUGCCAGGGGAGCAUGAAGAUGUCACCUAUGCUGUGUGCAGGACUGCCAGUAGCACGGAUGGUCUCUCUGCAGGGGUGGCAUGGAGGAACAGCCCUGCAUCAGAAAGAUGUUUCAAAACACUGUACAAAGAAAAUGAAUGGUGUGCCUGGGGUAGGCUGCUAGGCUCAGAGGAAAGGCUAUGAAUAAAGACAUCAAGAAUUCUCUUAACACAGUGAUGAAAUGACAGUUCCAAAUGGGUCAGUGCUGAACCCCAGCAGGAGUCCUUGCCCUGGGACUUGCUCCCAGUUCCUCUGAGACUGUCAAGGACCUCAGCCUAGGCCUUGAUGGCCUGGAUCCAGCCUCGGGGACCUCUGCAUGCUCUGCUGAGCCUCAUGCUCGUGCUCAGUUUCAAGGUGCUGGUCUCAUGGCCCUUUCCCAAUGGCUGGGAGACACAAACACCUAUGCAAUGGAAGAGUUCCAGGUGGGCAGAAACCACAUGAUUUGCCUGGCUGAGAGCUCUAUCAUCCUCAUCUAGAGAGUGAUGCUGGGUGAGCUGCAACACCAAGUGGGUAACACUCAUUCCUGCUUAUAUCCUUUUUUCUGUCUUGGUGGUCAGGGCAGGGUCUCUCUGCAGGCCAGUGGCACAAAUGCCCUGGAGGCAGGGAGAACAGCUGUCCUUGUACCCUGUAAUGACAAUAAGCAUCCAUGAGAUGGACAGUAAGUGUCCUCUGAACUUUUAUCCCAUACUGAAUUCAUUGGAGGAAGACAAACAUCUUUUUAGGCUUUGGUACCACAUCAGGUAGCAAACACCUCCUCUUGUAAAGCUUGUUCUGCCACAGAGGACAGUGUUGCUCUGCACUGUCUUAGUGUAUGUCUUCCACUUGCAAUUCCUGCUAAUUUAAUGAAUUAUUUAGCUGUGCCAUGCUCACAGGCUCAUGCCAAAAUGGUAAUGGAAUUCUGCAUUGGCUACGGGUAUAUCCAGAUGUUCACAAUUUUUCUCUCUCUUUCUACACAGAUUUUAUGUAAAUUGCAGGAAGAGCAGCGCUGCCAUCACCACCUUCUCCAUUAAUAAAUCCUGUAACAGGCUCCA